GCUGGGCGCGGUGGCUCAUGCCUGUAAUCCCAGCACUUUGGGAGGCUGAGGUGGGUGGAUCACCUGAGGUCAGGAGUUCGAGACCAGCCUGGCCAACAUGGUGAAACCCCAUCUCUA
rnacentral:sRNA from 1 species